rnacentral:rRNA from 1 species
CCUACGGGAGGCAGCAGUGAGGAAUAUUGGUCAAUGGGCGAGAGCCUGAACCAGCCAAGUCGCGUGAAGGAUGACGGCCCUACAGGUUGUAAACUUCUUUUGUCAGGGAGCAAUUGAGUCCACGUGUGGGCUUAGCGAGAGUACCUGAAUACAAAACAUCGGCUAACUCCGUGCCAGCAGCCGCGGUAAUACGGAGGAUGCGAGCGUUAUCCGGAUGUAUUGGGUUAAAGGGGUGCGUAGGCGGAAUAUCAAGUCAGCGGUAAAAAUUCGGGGCUCAACCGCGUCGUGCCGUUGAAACUGAUGUUCUUGAGUGGGCGAGAAGUAUGCAGAAUGCGUGGUGUAGCGGUGAAAUGCAUAGAGAUCACGCAGAACUCCGAUUGCGAAGGCAGCAUACCGGCGACCAACUGACGCUGAAGCACGAAAGCGUGGGUAUCGAACAGGAUUAGAUACCCCUGUAGUC